CAGCCGCCGCGGUAAAACGAAGGGGGCUAGCGUUGUUCGGAUUUACUGGGCGUAAAGGGCGCGUAGGCGGACUGAUAAGUCAGGGGUGAAAUCCCAAGGCUCAACCUUGGAACUGCCUUUGAUACUGUUUGUCUUGAGUUCGAGAGAGGUAAGUGGAACUGCGAGUGUAGAGGUGAAAUUCGUAGAUAUUCGCAAGAACACCAGUGGCGAAGGCGGCUUACUGGCUCGAAACUGACGCUGAGGCGCGAAAGCGUGGGGAGCAAACAGGAUUAGAUACCCCGGUAGUCCCUGUCUCUUAUAA
rnacentral:rRNA from 1 species